rnacentral:misc_RNA from 2 species
AAGUCGUAACAAGGUCUCCGUUGGUGAACCAGCGGAGGGAUCAUUACUGAGUACUACACUCUCUACCCUUUGUGAACUAUUAUACCUGUUGCUUCGGCGGCGCCCGCAAGGGUGCCCGCCGGUCUCAUCAGAAUCUCUGUUUUCGAACCCGACGAUACUUCUGAGUGUUCUUAGCGAACUGUCAAAACUUUUAACAACGGAUCUCUUGGCUCCA